AUACGGAGGGUGCAAGCGUUAUUCGGAAUCACUGGGCGUAAAGGACGCGUAGGCGGGUUGGCAAGUCGGAUGUGAAAUCCUACAGCUUAACUGUAGAACUGCAUUUGAAACUGCUAACCUAGAGUAUGGAAGGGGCAGGUGGAAUUAGUGGUGUAGGGGUAAAAUCCGUAGAUAACACUAGGAAUACCGAAAGCGAAGGCGACCUGCUGGGACAUUACUGACGCUGAGGCGUGAAAGCGUGGGGAGCAAACAGGAUUAGAAACCCCGGUAGUCC
rnacentral:rRNA from 1 species